UACGAAGGGUGCAAACGUUGCUCGGAAUCAUUGGGCGUAAAGCGCACGUAGGCGGCUUGCCAAGUCGGACGUGAAAUCCCUCAGCUCAACUGAGGACGUGCAUCCGAAACUGGCGAGCUUGAGUACUGAAGAGGAUCGCGGAAUUCCCGGUGUAGAGGUGAAAUUCGUAGAUAUUGGGAAGAACACCGGUGGCGAAGGCGGCGACCUGGUCCGAUACUGACGCUGAGGCGCGAAAGCGUGGGGAGCAAACAGG
rnacentral:rRNA from 1 species